rfam:Triticum aestivum genome assembly, contig: Triticum_aestivum_CS42_TGACv1_scaffold_061607_1DL
AGAGGAAGGAUGCCUGGUAAUGUGCAUAGAGAUUGACUGAACUCAGUCUGCAUGUCUGCUCGCCCUGAUGCCUUCGGGCUUUACUCUUGCUGGCCUGUAUUUGACCCACACUA